ACACCUCAACUCUCACGGCUUGCUGUGAUGAGCUUGGACUUUGGGGGGCUUGUUGGCCUGUGAGCCAGCUCCUCUUGAAUGAAUUAGCUUGCCGGUGUUUGGUGGCAUCACAGGUGUGAUAACUAUCUACGCUUGUGGUUUCCCAUCAGAUAACCUUCAGUGAUGGAGGUUCGCUGGGGCUUAUAAACGUCUCUCCUCGGCGAGGACAGAUUUUGACC
rnacentral:misc_RNA from 1 species